rnacentral:rRNA from 1 species
GGUUAAGCGACUAAGCGUACACGGUGGAUGCCCUGGCAGUCAGAGGCGAUGAAGGACGUGCUAAUCUGCGAAAAGCGCCGGCGAGGUGAUAUGAACCUUUGACCCGGCGAUGUCCGAAUGGGGAAACCCAGUGCAAUUCGUUGCACUAUCGUUAACUGAAUACAUAGGUUAACGAGGCGAACCGGGGGAACUGAAACAUCUAAGUACCCCGAGGAAAAGAAAUCAACCGAGAUUCCCCCAGUAGCGGCGAGCGAACGGGGAGCAGCCCAGAGUCUGAAUCAGCUUGUGUGUUAGUGGAAGCGUCUGGAAAGUCGCACGGUACAGGGUGACAGUCCCGUACACGAAAGCACACAGGUUGUGAACUCGAAGAGUAGGGCGGGACACGUGGUAUCCUGUCUGAAUAUGGGGGGACCAUCCUCCAAGGCUAAAUACUCCUGACUGACCGAUAGUGAACCAGUACCGUGAGGGAAAGGCGAAAAGAACCCCGGCGAGGGGAGUGAAAAAGAACCUGAAACCGUGUACGUACAAGCAGUGGGAGCACCUUCGUGGUGUGACUGCGUACCUUUUGUAUAAUGGGUCAGCGACUUAUAUUCUGUAGCAAGGUUAACCGUAUAGGGGAGCCGAAGGGAAACCGAGUCUUAACUGGGCGUUAAGUUGCAGGGUAUAGACCCGAAACCCGGUGAUCUAGCCAUGGGCAGGUUGAAGGUUGGGUAACACUAACUGGAGGACCGAACCGACUAAUGUUGAAAAAUUAGCGGAUGACUUGUGGCUGGGGGUGAAAGGCCAAUCAAACCGGGAGAUAGCUGGUUCUCCCCGAAAGCUAUUUAGGUAGCGCCUCGUGAACUCAUCUUCGGGGGUAGAGCACUGUUUCGGCUAGGGGGCCAUCCCGGCUUACCAACCCGAUGCAAACUACGAAUACCGAAGAAUGUUAUCACGGGAGACACACGGCGGGUGCUAACGUCCGUCGUGAAGAGGGAAACAACCCAGACCGCCAGCUAAGGUCCCAAAGUCAUGGUUAAGUGGGAAACGAUGUGGGAAGGCACAGACAGCCAGGAUGUUGGCUUAGAAGCAGCCAUCAUUUAAAGAAAGCGUAAUAGCUCACUGGUCGAGUCGGCCUGCGCGGAAGAUGUAACGGGGCUAAACCAUGCACCGAAGCUGCGGCAGCGACACUAUGUGUUGUUGGGUAGGGGAGCGUUCUGUAAGCCGUUGAAGGUGUGCUGUGAGGCAUGCUGGAGGUAUCAGAAGUGCGAAUGCUGACAUAAGUAACGAUAAAGCGGGUGAAAAGCCCGCUCGCCGGAAGACCAAGGGUUCCUGUCCAACGUUAAUCGGGGCAGGGUGAGUCGACCCCUAAGGCGAGGCCGAAAGGCGUAGUCGAUGGGAAACAGGUUAAUAUUCCUGUACUUGGUGUUACUGCGAAGGGGGGACGGAGAAGGCUAUGUUAGCCGGGCGACGGUUGUCCCGGUUUAAGCAUGUAGGCGGAACGAUUAGGUAAAUCCGGUCGUUUAUUAACGCUGAGGUGUGAUGACGAGGCACUACGGUGCUGAAGUAACAAAUGCCCUGCUUCCAGGAAAAGCCUCUAAGCAUCAGGUAACAUCAAAUCGUACCCCAAACCGACACAGGUGGUCAGGUAGAGAAUACCAAGGCGCUUGAGAGAACUCGGGUGAAGGAACUAGGCAAAAUGGUGCCGUAACUUCGGGAGAAGGCACGCUGAUAUGUAGGUGAAGCCCCUGCGGGUGGAGCUGAAAUCAGUCGAAGAUACCAGCUGGCUGCAACUGUUUAUUAAAAACACAGCACUGUGCAAACACGAAAGUGGACGUAUACGGUGUGACGCCUGCCCGGUGCCGGAAGGUUAAUUGAUGGGGUUAGCGGUAACGCGAAGCUCUUGAUCGAAGCCCCGGUAAACGGCGGCCGUAACUAUAACGGUCCUAAGGUAGCGAAAUUCCUUGUCGGGUAAGUUCCGACCUGCACGAAUGGCGUAAUGAUGGCCAGGCUGUCUCCACCCGAGACUCAGUGAAAUUGAACUCGCUGUGAAGAUGCAGUGUACCCGCGGCAAGACGGAAAGACCCCGUGAACCUUUACUAUAGCUUGACACUGAACACUGGUCCUUGAUGUGUAGGAUAGGUGGGAGGCUUUGAAGCGUGGACGCCAGUCUGCGUGGAGCCAACCUUGAAAUACCACCCUUUAAUGGCUGGUGUUCUAACGUAGACCCGUAAUCCGGGUUGCGGACAGUGUCUGGUGGGUAGUUUGACUGGGGCGGUCUCCUCCCAAAGAGUAACGGAGGAGCACGAAGGUUAGCUAAUCCUGGUCGGACAUCAGGAGGUUAGUGCAAUGGCAUAAGCUAGCUUGACUGCGAGAGUGACGGCUCGAGCAGGUGCGAAAGCAGGUCAUAGUGAUCCGGUGGUUCUGAAUGGAAGGGCCAUCGCUCAACGGAUAAAAGGUACUCCGGGGAUAACAGGCUGAUACCGCCCAAGAGUUCAUAUCGACGGCGGUGUUUGGCACCUCGAUGUCGGCUCAUCACAUCCUGGGGCUGAAGUAGGUCCCAAGGGUAUGGCUGUUCGCCAUUUAAAGUGGUACGCGAGCUGGGUUUAGAACGUCGUGAGACAGUUCGGUCCCUAUCUGCCGUGGGCGCUGGAGAAUUGAGGGGGGCUGCUCCUAGUACGAGAGGACCGGAGUGGACGCAUCACUGGUGUUCGGGUUGUCAUGCCAAUGGCACUGCCCGGUAGCUAAAUGCGGAAAAGAUAAGUGCUGAAAGCAUCUAAGCACGAAACUUGCCCCGAGAUGAGUUCUCCCUGACCCUUUAAGGGUCCUGAAGGAACGUUGAAGACUACGACGUUGAUAGGUCGGGUGUGUAAGCGCAGCGAUGCGUUGAGCUAACCGAUACUAAUGAACCGUGAGGCUUAACCUU